rnacentral:rRNA from 1 species
UGGUGGAGUGAUUUGUCUGCUUGAUUGCGUUAACGAACGAGACCUUAGCCUGCUAAAUAGUCGCGCGAGCCCUGGCGCUCGUCCCGGCGACUUCUUAGAGGGACAAUGUGUGUCGAGCACAUGGAAGUUUGAGGCAAUAACA